GCAAAACAGUAAUAAAACUAAAAGUUUUCCUAGAACAUUAAUAAGUCUAUUAUUUAAGUACAUUUAUGCAGAUAGGUUGUGAAAAUAUUCGAAACUGUCAAGUUCAAUGUUAAGCGUAAUUGAAUGACGUUAACUUAAUUGAUGGGGAAAUAAAUUUAAAGACAAUAACUAGAAUAUUUAUGUCUAUGUUAAUGUGUGAGGUCAAAUGAGUUCGGAAUUCGAGGCUCGGAAAUUACGUAGUUUUUUUAUUUACAUGUGAGUCACU